rnacentral:piRNA from 1 species
UAAAAAUGGAAUAUAGUUUAG